GUCCUAUAAAGAUGUAUCAGCGCAAGCCAGCGGAGCAUCUCCCUGUAGGACGAAGUUUAUCAGAAGCUCUGACAACAAUUUUCAUUGUGUAGCUUCGGUUGAAAUGAGAUGAGUCAGAGUGGAAUAGGUUAACCGUAAGACCUUGGGUUGGAAAACUCUAAAAUUGACCUAGAGAUACGGAUUUAUUAAUUCUCGUAUUUUCUAGUUACGGUUUA
rnacentral:ncRNA from 1 species